rnacentral:lncRNA from 1 species
UUUGAGAGCCUUUCAAUUGUAUUAUGGUGGAUUGAAACUAUAAAUGCAAUUUUUUUUUACUGAAUAAGAGUUCAAAAGAACUAUUUUCAUAGUAAACUAUAUUGACUUAUUGUCAGUAUAAUUUUAUUAUAAACACACUGUAAAAAUACAAAAAACCCAAUUAUUUCUUUUUAAAAUGCUAACAUUUUAUUGCUUUAUCCAGAGAAUAUCUGAUGAAAUGUUUUAAGAUUUAUGGGACUUAAAUUUAUGAAAAUGGACUUUGGGAGUAUUUUUGAUAUAGUUAGUUCAAUGGACUUCUAAAUUGGUGAAUUUUUUUUUCUUUCUUUCUUUUGGUUAGUUUACUUAAUAUUGUCCAUGGUAAAAUGGUAACAAUUCUUACAUAGCUUAGAUUGGCCUUGAAAUCAUGACCCUCCACCCUCCAAAAUAUUAAUUUUUUUUCAAUUUUUAAUUUUAGGUGUAUGUACAUUCUGCCUGAAUAUUUAUCUGUACCAUAUGUGUGCCUGAUACCCAUGGAGAUUGGAAAAGGGUGUCAAAUACCCUGAGACUAGAGUUACAGCCAGUUAUAAGUCUCCAUGUGGAUGAUAGGACUAGAACUUGCGGUCUCUGGAAGAUUAUCACUAACUCUUCAGCCCCCAAAUUAUUAUUUUUAAUAUUUAUGGAAAUAACUUUUUUCUAAAUUAUGAUUGAAAAAAUAACGUUUUGACCAUUUUUAAUGAUUAAUCUUUCAAGUACCAUAUGUAAUUUUUAAUGUUUUUACCUUAAAACAGCUAUUAAGUAGGAAAAUUUAAAUUGAAGUUUAAACCAGAAUUUUUACUUCCAUGAGAAAUUUUAGACUUUGCAUACAUAUAUGGCCUUCAUGCUUAAAUGCAUUCUGCUGUAAAUUUUGAGAUAUCAUUUACGCAUUCAUAUAAUUCAAGUAAAGCAAACAUCUCUCUUGGCACAAAAUUUGAUAUUUCUUAUUAAUUUUCUAUAUUGUCUUUUCUAUUCUUCCCUGUCCUCCAUUAGAACUGUUCUUUUUAUUUUAUGAUGAACCCUCCUUCAAAUGAAAGGUCAUUUUCUUUUAGACAUUUAACUUCAGACUAUCUUAUUGUGGGCAUAGAGGAUAUACCGUGAGACACAAUAUUAUUUCAGUAAAACCUAAAGAAUACAAGUCAAUGCAGUUCAUAUGCACAAUACUCAGACCAAGGAUGACAUCUCAAACUUUGUACACUCUGGUUUCGGUGCAUUUUCAUCAAUAGCUAGUAUUUUAAAAUCAGAUAUAACUAUACUUAAUUUUAAUAUAAAGACUGAUAUCCACAGGAAGCUUUUUUUUAGUUUUAGUCUGUUGAAUGGAUAAUACAUUAACAAAAAUAAAUACUUGCUAUUAUUCUUUUAUUUAAUAUUCUGUCGUUCAGAUCUGGAGAUGGCCACAGGUCAUUUAUUUAACGCAUUUAUGAGUUUUCACAUACUAAAUUUUGGCCUAAACACUUCGCAAGUGUCAGUUUAUUUAAUAUUGCCUAUGUUUUUCAUUUUGCAAAUGAGAAAGUUAUGAUACAAGUAUUUAUGGCAGUGUCUUUAGUUGGGUAGACCGGCUGUAAGAAAAGUAGGUAACAGUCUUGGUACUAAAUAUGUGCAGGAUCUGGGGAGCUAUGGAUGUGUUUAUUAGGAAAAGAUGGGACUCAAGCGUGCCCAGUAUAAAGAGCAGCAUGUGGUUCUAGAAGCACAAGUCAGAUGCUCUCAGGUUGCACCAGCCCACCAGGUGGAGAGGAGGCUCCUGCCCUAGUGCUGAGGAGCCCUCAUGUCUCAUGUCUUCCUCCUCCUCCAGGCAUUUUCGGCUGACUCAGGCAGUUUUGCCCCAGGAGGGUUUUCCUUCUCCCUCACUUGGAAGCCCGGGCUUUGUAAAUAAUAGGAGAAUUUUUUUUUUCUCCCGGGUUUAAUUUCAGGCCAGUUUAUCCUCCCCUUGCCCUUCAUAUAUUUCUUUGAAAAUAGUGCUCAAUAGUGUGUUACAAUUGUAUAUAACUAUGAGACUGAUAGUGAGUAACAGAAUUAAAGGGCAAAGCAAUCUUUUGUUUGAAUUCAGGAGAGAAGAUGAGAGCGGUUAAAUGUAGAAAAUGAGGAGAAAAGAAACAUUGUGGAAAUGAAGAGAUAAAUUGGGAUUGGGAGGCUGAUGGAAACUGAGAGGAGGAUUGCUGCUUUGCUUCUCACCCACACCUCCUCCCCACAUUCACAGUAACAGGCAAUGUCACUGUCUUUUGCCUGACAUGCUGAGCCAGGGAGUUGAGACUCGUGGGAGUGGAAAUUUUCUUCCUUUUGCAUUUUGAGACUUGGGUGUGCUGCUUUAAGAUGCCACUGGUAUCUCAGUAAUGUUUGUUUAUACCGGAUAUUUUCUGGGUAGCCAUUGUGGAUAGGGCUUAUAAUACAAACAGUACUGUUAGGAAGACUGCAGAAUCUCCGCUGCUAUGUUUAUCUUACUAGUUAAAAACCUGCUAGCACUUCUGAGCACGUUUAGAAAACUCCAGAGGCAAUGUUAAGAAUAGCUUUAGU